AAAGACCAUGAGCCGCACACCACAGCCGUUGGAUGAAGUAUCCUAUUUGAUGUCAGGGCUUGGCCGGAGGAAUGUUUCUAUGUCAGAGGACAGUGGCCAUACCCAGAUCACAUCACUUCUAACCCAAGAGUUCCCCAAAAUGGGGAAUUUAACUGGGGGAUGGCUCCUCUACAAAGCCUCAGGAGGCACUGGACAGCGCAAGCUAAGCUUGCUUCCACCCGAAGCAGAGGAGUACUCUGCCAGACAGUUAAAAAUUGCUUCUAACAAUGGCAAAAAUACAGUAUUCAUUAUGCCUCUGCAAGAAGAACUUGAUACAACUCCCCUCCCACUAGAUGACAGUUUCUUUUCAAAAAUGCCAAAAAGUAGCUGUAAAAAAUGUGGGUCAAGAAUGCCGGUGCAUGUUCUGCUCGUCCACCUGGAGAAAUGUGAAGGGACACUACAGGUCUCUGAAGCAUGUGAUGGGAUCCCAGAGGAAAAUGCAACAUGUCCAGUGUGUUCAUGCGUAUUCUCCUCUGCCACAAUUGAAAUGCAUGCCAGCAUGUGUGGUGAGA